rnacentral:rRNA from 1 species
UGCUUAACACAUGCAAGUCGAACGGCAGCAUGACCUAGCUUGCUAGGUUGAUGGCGAGUGGCGAACGGGUGAGUAACGCGUAGGAAUAUGCCUUGAAGACUGGGAUAACUUGGGGAAACUCAAGCUAAUACCGGAUGAUGUCUGAGGACGAAAGCUGGGGACCUUCGGGCCUGGCGCUUUAAGAUUAGCCUGCGUCCGAUUAGCUAGUUGGUGGGGUAAGGGCCUACCAAGGCGACGAUCGGUAGCUGGUCUGAGAGGAUGACCAGCCACACUGGAACUGAGACACGGUCCAGACUCCUACGGGAGGCAGCAGUGGGGAAUAUUGGACAAUGGGGGCAACCCUGAUCCAGCAAUGCCGCGUGUGUGAAGAAGGCCUGAGGGUUGUAAAGCACUUUCAGUGGGGAGGAGGGUUGAUAGGUUAAGAGCUAAUUGAUUGGACGUUACCCACAGAAGAAGCACCGGCUAACUCCGUGCCAGCAGCCGCGGUAAUACGGAGGGUGCAAGCGUUAAUCGGAAUUACUGGG